rfam:Oryza glaberrima chromosome 2 Oglab02_0284_3, whole genome shotgun sequence.
AAUAAAUACAGUUUGGCACUAUUCAUGUUUAACAUUUAAUCGUUCGUCUUAUUUGAAAAUUUUUUAUGACUAGUAUUUUUAUUACUAUUAGAUAAUAAAACAUGAAUAGUACUUUAUGUGUGACUAAAUAUUUUUAAAUUUUUCACAAAAUUUUCAAAUAAGAUGGACGGUGAAACGUUGGACACGGAUAUCCACGACUACACUUAUG